AUGGCUGUAGCAGCAGUAAAAUAGAGGACAGUAAAGCAAAUUGUCUUGAAACAUUUAUUUCCAAUGCAAAAUGGAGCUUUAUACUGUGUGUGUUAUAAAUCUAUGUAUUCUUCUCUACCUGAUGACUAUAAUUGCAAAACAGAGCUUGCUGUGACUUCCAAUGGCAGGAAGUGAGCCUGCUACCACUCUCCUGUGGACAUUCCCUAUGAAUACACAAAACCCAUCCUUCAACCACAUCCUGGGCACAAUAAUGAAGAAAUACAAGAUCAAGUGCUGAAAACCAGAUUGGAAGAAAAAGGUGAACACCUUGAGCAAAGACCCAUGAUAGAACAACUUAGCAAAAUGUUCUUUAGUAUUACACGCUGUUGGUAUUCUCAUGGACAGUAUUAAAGAUGUUGCAAGAAACUAGAUCUUCUAAAAGGCAGA
rnacentral:lncRNA from 1 species